rnacentral:rRNA from 1 species
GAGUUUGAUCCUGGCUCAGAACAAACGCUGGCGGCGUACUUAACACAUGCAAGUCGAACUGAGAAAAGAAGCUUCGGCUUCCGAGUAAAGUGGCGAACUGGGUGCGUAACACGUAAGUAAUCUACCCUAAACUCUGGAAUAACUCCCCGAAAGGGGGGCUAAGACUGGAUAGGGUCCUCGAGGUGUAAGCCGCGAGGGGAAAGCAGGCCUCUGUUGCAUGCUUGCGGUUUAGGAUGAGCUUGCGUCCCAUUAGUUUGUUGGUGAGGUAACGGCUCACCAAGACUACGAUGGGUAGCUGGUCUGAGAGGAUGAUCAGCCACACUGGCACUGAGACACGGGCCAGACUCCUACGGGAGGCAGCAGUGGGGAAUUUUGCGCAAUGGGCGAAAGCCUGACGCAGUAACGCCGUGUGGAGGACGAAGGCCUUCGGGUUGUAAACUCCUGUCAGGGGGAAAGAAGGACUGGUUGAGAAAAUAUUUCUUCUGGUUCUGACGGUACCCCCAAAGGAAGCCCCGGCUAAUUCCGUGCCAGCAGCCGCGGUAAUACGGAAGGGGCUAGCGUUGUUCGGAAUCAUUGGGCGUAAAGGGCGCGUAGGUGGUCUUAUGUGUCCGUCGUGAAAGUGCACGGCUCAACCGUGUUUGGUCGGCGGAAACUGUAGGACUUGAGGCUGGGAGGGGCUAGAGGAAUUCCCUGUGUAGCGGUGAAAUGCGUAGAGAUGGGGGAGAACACUCGUGGCGAAGGCGUCUAGCUGGACCAGUCCUGACACUGAGGCGCGAAAGCAGUGGGUAGCAAACAGGAUUAGAUACCCUGGUAGUC